UACGUAGGGUGCAAGCGUUAAUCGGAAUUACUGGGCGUAAAGCGUGCGCAGGCGGUUUUGUAAGUUUGUCGUGAAAUCCCCGGGCUCAACCUGGGAAUGGCGAUGAAGACUGCAAGGCUAGAAUCUGGCAGAGGGGGGUAGAAUUCCACGUGUAGCAGUGAAAUGCGUAGAGAUGUGGAGGAACACCGAUGGCGAAGGCAGCCCCCUGGGUCAAGAUUGACGCUCAUGACA
rnacentral:rRNA from 1 species